ACAGUGGUGGUUCAGUGGUAGAAUUCUUACCUUCCAUGCAGACCUGGGUUCAAUUUCCAGCCAAUGCA
rnacentral:tRNA from 1 species